GGGGGACACGCGUUUAAAGAUUUAUCGGCUCUCUUAGAUUGCCAAGCAGAUCAUCAAAAGUGUUAUUUCUGAAAUAGGGCAAAUUCCUCUAUCGGCUUGGCUAGAACAACAGCAGGUUUGCUUUCAUCAUUGUAGACUCGUUGCAGUGAUGACAAUGAGGCCUGGUAUAUUCCCAACAUGUCUCUACUGCUGUACUUCGAGGCGAUAUGAAGACUAAUGUUCUUUUAUUUCUCCCAACAGGAGAUUCUUGGGCAUCUCCAUGGUGUUUGAAGUGUGUAGUAACCAACAUAUGCAGUAUGGUAAAUGGUUUGGAUUGGUUUUUCGAAAGUUUCGGAUUACAUUAAUGGUCCUCCUGUGAACGGACUGGGCAAUCGGGCUCCAGAACACAAUGUGGGUGAAUAAUCCUGUGAGUUAAUGCAUAAUUUGUACCAUUACCAUUAGGAAGCUUGUCCUAAUGGUAAAUGUUACUUCUAUAAUUUUUCCAUUUGAUAAUGAUAAUGCAUUUUGGAAAACUGAUUUGUUAAAGUGAGGUCUAUCCCGACUUGCCCCUCUCAGUAGAGCGUAGUCAUUGGAAAUGCCUCGGAGAUAAAG
rnacentral:lncRNA from 1 species